rnacentral:lncRNA from 1 species
CAGGAAGGCAGCUUCUGGCAUUAGACCUCAAUGUCUAACUUUUAGAAGCCCAGGAUCAGUUGUGCUGAACCUGUCCUUGAGCACUUCUGGAUUUAGCUCUCUGAAGACACCAGAAACUUAAGAUGGUACAAGGGAUCAGGUGAACACUCCUUGCUUACCUCACAUCAAAGACAGCUGAGUUUUAACUGCUGAAGAAGAUGAUUUGCUGCUGUUUGUUUGUUUGUUUGUUUGUUUUUUCCUGAAUUGGGAUAUGGAGACCUCAGAGUGAAUUCUCACCACUUCUCUUGUGGGGCUGUCUGCAAAUGGGAGUGGAAAGCUGCACCCAGCAAAAUUGUGGCCAUUCCUCUGCCAAAAUGGAGACCAGAGGAGGAGGUGAAAAAAGAUGCACAGCUGGGAGAUCAGUUUAGUGAGCUAUCUUUAAGAACCAUUGCUAAAAAGGGAUUUGGUGGAAGCGGGAAAGAGACCAAUUUACUCCUCUUCAGAUGCUGCUGAACUGUGAACCAUGUGAGACUUGAUUCACAUCUGGAACUGUCUGUUGCACUCAAGAAUAUAUUCCUUUGAAUCUGAGUAAUAAAU